rnacentral:rRNA from 1 species
GGGGAUGAGCCCGCGUCCCAUUAAUUUUUGGUGAGGUAACGGCUCACCAAGGCGACGAUGGGUAGCUGGUCUGAGAGGAUGAUCAGCCACACUGGAACUGAGACACGGCCCAGACUCUUACGGGAGGCAGCAGCUAAGAAUCUUCCGCAAUGGGGGAAACCCUGACGGAGCGACGCCGCGUGGACGAUGAAGGCCUAGAGGUUGUAAAGUCCUUUUGCAGACGAAGAAUAAGGCAAGGAGUGGAACGCCUUGCUGAUGACGUUAGUCUUGCGAAUAAGCCCCGGCCAAUUACGUGCCAGCAGCCGCGGUAACACGUAUGGGGCGAGCGUUGUUCGGAAUUAUUGGGCGUAAAGGGCGCGUAGGCGGCGCUAUAAGCUUGGUGUGAAAUCCCCCGGCCUAACUGGGGGCUUGCGCUGAGAACUGUAGUGCUUGAGUUCUGGAGGGGAAGCUGGAAUUCCUGGUGUAGGGGUGAAAUCUGUAGAUAUCAGGAAGAACACCGGUGGCGAAGGCGGGCUUCUGGCCAGAAACUGACGCUGAGGCGCGAAAGCGUGGGGAGCGAACAGGAUUAGAUACCCUGGUAGUCCACGCUGUAAACGAUGUGCACUGGGUGUUGGGGCUUUAAUGGGUCUCAGUGCCGUAGUUAACGCGAUAAGUGCACCGCCUGGGGAGUAUGCCCGCAAGGGUGAAACUCAAAGGAAUUGACGGG